GGAAUGGCUCGGGAUAUUCCCCGGAAAGCCUGCUUGUUUGCACACUGCGGCGGUUCCCGGCAGGGCUGGCUGGGAAGGGAGCUGGACCCUCUGUAGGAACCAGUGAGUUUGGUCUCCAUGCGCCAGGCAGACUCUAGCUUCAGAGGAAUUACCUUCGGGAGCUACAAGAGGUGUUCUUGGUAACUCGGGACUUCCGUGUCAGUCUCCCCACGGAAGCCACAGUUAGUGCUGUGUUCCGUGUGGGUCUCUUGCGUGUCUCUGCCUUCAACUCUCACUGUGGAGAGAGAGCUGGCAGGCAGAGGGUCCUGGCGGGUGGGGUGCACAGGAUGGAAGCCCAAAGGGAGCAGAGACCAGCACGUGCAUUGAGCUCCCCAUGGCAGACAGAGAUGCGUGAGUGAGAAACAGACUGCAGAGAAGCCCUGAGCUCCAUGGCUACCAGCUCUUGCACAAAAAGGGAAGGUCACGUGGAGGCUGCUGCCAAGGUCAAGGUGCAGGUGCGGCACAUGCUCGGCCGGAUCUGGCCCCACCCUCGCUGAUGUUUGAGGAAUCCUCCAGUGUGAGUGACCACAUCUGGCAGAAGAAGGAAAAAAUGUAGUUAUUGAAUCCAAUCCAGUGUUUGUGUCUCUCACAUUAUCAACAAAAGUGGUCAAGAAAGGUUCCAGUUGGCCCCAUGAACACAUGGAUAUAGAAGGAGCCACAUGAAGAUGGAGAAAUCGAGGCACAGAGAAAUCAAGUGACUUCGCCACAGUCACAAGCUGGGGAGGACCAGAAAUAGAACCUGAGAGAGCCCGGCUCUGGGCCUGCGUCCUGCCCACAGAGUCACGCUGCCUCCAUCCUCCGGGGAGAAGGCUCCUUGCAAGGUA
rnacentral:lncRNA from 1 species